UGCGGAUGUGGCGGAAUUGGCAGACGCGCAGGCUUCAGGUGCCUGUGCCCCUUGGGGCGUGGAGGUUCGACUCCUCUCAUCCGCAU
rnacentral:tRNA from 1 species